UGUAUAUUAUUAUUAAAUGUGAAUCAAUAUGGUAUUACACCAGUGCUUCACCAAUAAGAAGAAUUGCAUUAAACUGGUAGCACAGUAAGAGAAUGGUUGUAUAUGGGACAGUGAUGGGGAAAGAGGAAGGAGCAUCCACAAGUUCAAGGAAUAGGUAGGUAUGUCUCUUCGUGGAGGAAAAGGUAUUGAGGGAAAAAACCCACAGGGCAGAUGUAUUGGUCUGGAUAAGACUGUAUGGUAUUAUGUCUUUAUUAACUAGUCCUAAGUGGUAGAGGUUCUGAAAACAUGUAAGUAAAAGCAUUCUAGGACUACUGUGAAAAAUAAAAAGGAUAAUUAUUAUAAAAAUGGUACUCUCAAAGCUCUCAAAGCAUUUUUUAUUAAAUCAAAAUUAUACUGAUGUAACAUUAAGAAUGAGAUUUUAACUGAAAUGUUUAAACCAAAGGUUUCUUCAAGAAACCCUCACACUGUUCCCAUGAGUAUAUGCAUAACAAUAGAUUCUUUCAUUGUGUACUGAAUUUUUGCAUCAGACACUGAAUAAUAAUUAUUUUCCACUGUAGCUUCACCCCAGCCUACCUGGAGUUUCACAACACCACAGAAGAAAGCUGCUUUCUGAAUAGGCAGCUCCUCAAAGAGGCAGUGAUCUACCAGAUGCUAAGAGGAUACACAGAAACAUGAGGGAGGGCUUAAGCCAGUAUAUAGGAGAGAAACCAGAUGUGUGAGAAACAUUAUACAGACACUGUCAAAAAUGAAGAAAGAAAUAGCUUGAAGAAGCAGAUGGGUGGACAAGGUAUUUUCCCUCAAAAAUCUCAACAAACAAUGGGAGGAAGAAAAUGGAUACCAGCCUAGAACAGCUUCAUUGAUAAAAUGAACUUGAUCUGUGUCUGAUAAAUCUUGAUAUUCAGGCAAGGUCUCCUGCCACGUUGUUCUUUAUCAAGAGGUAUGCUCAGUUCUGGAACUGCUGCACCAAAGACUAGAUUUUCUAAGAUCAGAGCAAUUCUGCCUUCAGUCUGAGAAGCAGAGCUGAGAUCUCUCAGCAGUGGUCAGGAAGUGAAUGCGAAGCUGAAUAACAUUUUGUUAAAACAGAGCAUCAGGAAUUGGUUUUACUGAAGAACAGAGGAAUCAUACAUUUGGAAAUAGUUGCUAUAAAAAGAAGUACUAGAUCUUGGUAGAAGAAAGGAGCAAGAGCACUACAGUUUCCGCUCUGGGCCAGCAAACCGUCUUAGAAUUCAUUCUGAAUAUUUCAGGUUUCUGAUUCAGAGCCUGAAACUUGACUCAAGACAGGGUGAAACUCAUCAGAAACUGUAUUCCCUGGGGGUAGUGAAGAAAAGGCUGCAAGAAAUAAGUGGAUAA